rnacentral:sRNA from 1 species
AAAAUGGCCGAUUCAGCGAUGUAAACAAAAGAUGUCAAAACUUUGACUCGCCGGUUUCUGCAAGGGAGUAUACAGACCAUGAAGAGAUGACCAGCCACCAAAAGAAGAACACAGUUACCAGUGCCCUGACUGUAAGAAGAUCUUGAAAUCCAUAUCUGGUUUUCGGGGACACAUGACCAGGCAGCACAAGAAAAGCAAAACCAUGCACAUUCAGCAUUCAAUGGCAUAUAUAUGAAUAUUAAAGUCUGAGAAA